GGCUUCUCCAAUGGAAGAGAGAAGUUCCAAAAUAUUACAAAGUGUUUGUUGUCUUCCAAAAUAUGAAUGAUCUAACUCAAAAAUAACCCUAACACUAUCUAUUUAUAUUAGUCCACAAAGGGAGAUAACAAAUGACCAUCCUACCCUUGCCAAGGGUGGCCUUGGAGUGUAAGUUUAUUACACUUCAAGGCUCCUCUUCACACUUAAAAGCAUUUAAUCCAUUGGAAGGCUCAAGUACCAACUCACACAUGGCCAUUUGCAUGAACAUAACUUGGAGUUUUUGUAACUCCUAAGCUUGGCUACGUGUGAAUGGUCGUGAACUUG
rnacentral:lncRNA from 1 species